UAUACCUACUGUGGUUUUCUUUUUUUAAUUAGUAAUCAUAGUUACGCAGGUUGAAAAGGCUGGAUCUUCAGCAAAUCGAUAGGUACUAGAACUUGUAGCGGUUGGAGAAGCCUCACCAUCUCUCCCUCUCUCUCUCUCUCUCCCUCUCUCUCUGUGCACAAGUAGUACUUCUGUUGCUGAAACCUAUAGUAGUCCGAAAGAUUAUCAUCUCAGAUCACUUUCUGAUUUACCUUGUAAAUUAAAUAGAUCUUCCAUAGCUUUGGAUAAAUACGAAAAUUUUGCAUUAUUCACUUAAAUCAGUACCAUUCACCAAGGCCAUAUCUGCCGACCAUAAGCACUAUUAAUCAAAUAUCCACCGCCACCACUUUUUCUUGCUGACCAUAUGGGCAUGUUGGGCCUCCGAGACCUUGUUCUCAUUGCUCCAACCUCUUCCAUGCACCAACAAAACCAACCCAUUUCUGCUGAUCACCACCCUAACCUUCCUCUACCUUCCUCAGCCGCCCUUGGUGUAGGUCUCGGCAUUUUCCCGCUUUUAACUGCCACUCCAUGCAUCACACCCUCAAACAAUGGCGUCCAAGACUGCGGCAACUCUAAUAACCCCAACUGUUGGACUCUAAAGAAAGGUCAAGAACUGAGUUCCUCAAACAAAGGUGGGAUUGACGUCGAAAAUGAUGCUUCUGAGCAGAUGUUUGAGAGUAGUGGGAGUGGUAUGAGGGUUUGCAGGGAUUGUGGGAACAAGGCUAAGAAGGAUUGUACUUAUAGGAGGUGCAGGACUUGCUGUAAGAGCCGUGGUAAUGAUUGUGCUACUCACGUGAGGAGCACGUGGGUUCCGGCAGCUCGACGGCGGGAUCGGAGGAUGUCGCUGGUGGGGGGUGAUGGUGAUGCUUCUUCCGGGUCUUCCUCUGGGGUUAAAAGGCCAAGAAUUGAGGUGUCACCUCCUAAUGUUAAUGCUACGUCUCAUGCUUCAACAUCUAAUGCUACCACUCCUAGGAGUACUGGCAUUAGCUCUAGCCACCAAGAUGCAAGUUUUAAACACUCCUUACCGCGCCAAGUUCGCGCACCGGCGGUAUUCAGGUGUCACAGAGUCACAGCCGUGAGUAGUGGUGAAGCCGAGAUUGUCUACCAGGCUACAGUGAGCAUUAGUGGUCAUGUGUUCAAAGGGUUUCUCUAUGAUCAUGGGGUUGAUGAUAAAAACUCGUUCCCUUCUGUUUCACAAAUGCAUUUGGAAAGUAGUAGUCGGGGUGGAAGGAAUAGGGAGUCCUCUUCUCCAAUUGUGGCUCCUUCAAAUGCUCAUCCAAGCUCUGGCAGCUGAAGAUUGCUCAAUGUAAGUAGUGUGGUUAAGAAUUCUGCAAUUGUUAGUGGGAUCUUUUGCCAAGAAGUGCUCAUACCGGUUCUGAAACGCUCAGCCAAUCUCGGACCAAAACAAUACCUAAUUAGCCAUACAAUGAAGCAUGAUUGUCAACAUAACUUUUGAAUUGAUGAUGCAUUUGUAUCCAACUUGCUUAUGGUGCACCCUGAAGUGGGUUGAGAGUGGAUUUCCCAGCAAUCUUUAAUUGUUGGUUUUGUGGUAAUGGAGCAGUCUUUCACAUGAUAAAUAUCAUAUCACAGUCUCGGGAAGUCAUUACUGACUUGUUGCUGAUUGAAAAUCUAUUCAUUUUGCAAAAUAUUUUCUCUCCUACUACAUUCCUUAGUUGUUAAAACAAAAUAAUGAGACAUUGCAGGACACCAACUAGAAACCGUUUGUCAUAUGGCAGGUGAUGAAUGAAAUCCACCAGUACAGGUUCUUGGUUCUGCACAAGUUGAGCAUCAGAAUUGGUUAAUGUAAAUUGUCUUCUGCAUAAAUAUAUGAAUGCAAAUAGAGAAAGCAUAUAGGAGCCUUUCCUUCAGCUCUUAUGUAAGAAAGCAGGCAUGUCAUGUUGGGGUUUCAUGGAGAUUCCUGUACAGUUUUGGAAUGAAAAACUUGUCCUAAAUGCUUUGAUUCA